ensembl:lncRNA
CGGGAACAGAAGGCAGCUCUGUCAGGCUGUGUCCUCUUCUUGUGAGAAAAGGGAAUAUCAAAGGCAAGACAGGAGUCAUGAGGGAGUAGAGUGGAGUUGGGGGUAUAAGCAAAGAGAUUCAACGAGAUGAGGUGAAAGGAGGCAGUGCUUCAGAGAAGACUUUCAGAGUCGAUGAGAGGCGUUACGUAAUUUGUGCAGAUGGCAGUUUGAGUGUCUCUCUCUCUCCUCCCUAUGUUAUAUCCCCACCUCUGCCAGGACACAUUAUCCUCUCAUUCAGGAGGGUGUUUUAGGUCUAACUUUGAUCAUUUGUGCUGUUUACGGUGUGUGUGUGUGUGUGUGUGUGUGCAUGCGUAUGUGCAUUGGAUAGGACACAAAUGAACUUACGGAAAUACCACGUCAUACACAACUACUGGGAGCCUGGUUCAGGUUUCGGGUUUUGACCUGGAAUCUUCAUCUGUCAGAUAGGCAGGCUGUUAAGCAUGUCUUUCAUCCUGUUUUCCUUCUUUCACCCCAACCGGUCGCAGCAGAUGGCCCCGCCCCUCCCUGAGCCUGGUUCUGCCGGAGAUUUCUUCCUGUUAAAAGGGAGUUUUUCCUUCCCACUGUUGCCAAAGUGCUUGCUCAUAGGGGGUCAUAUGAUUGUUGGGUUUUUCUCUGUAUUUAUUAUUGUGCUAUCUACUGUACAAUAUAAAGCGCCUUGAGGCGACUUUUGUUGUGAUUUGGC